UGGGGAAUAUUGCACAAUGGGCGCAAGCCUGAUGCAGCCAUGUCGCGUGUGUGAAGAAGGCCUUCGGGUUGUAAAGCACUUUCAGCGAGGAGGAAGGGUAGUGUGUUAAUAGCACAUUGCAUUGACGUUACUCGCAGAAGAAGCACCGGCUAACUCCGUGCCAGCAGCCGCGGUAAUACGGAGGGUGCAAGCGUUAAUCGGAAUUACUGGGCGUAAAGCGCACGCAGGCGGUUUGUUAAGUCAGAUGUGAAAUCCCCGCGCUUAACGUGGGAACUGCAUUUGAAACUGGCAAGCUAGAGUCUUGUAGAGGGGGGUAGAAUUCCAGGUGUAGCGGUGAAAUGCGUAGAGAUCUGGAGGAAUACCGGUGGCGAAGGCGGCCCCCUGGACAAAGACUGACGCUCAGGUGCGAAAGCGUGGGGAGCAAACA
rnacentral:rRNA from 1 species